AGCCUCCUGGUGCCUACCACUGACUAAAAAGAAAGAAGACAGACUGAACCUGCCCUGUAUACACCUCACCCCAAGUCCUGUGCCUGAUCUGUAUGUGAAUGGGGGAGAUGUAG
ensembl:snoRNA